rnacentral:rRNA from 1 species
UGCAAGUCGAGCGGUAGAGAGAAGCUUGCUUCUCUUGAGAGCGGCGGACGGGUGAGUAAUGCCUAGGAAUCUGCCUGGUAGUGGGGAUAACGUUCGGAAACGGACGCUAAUACCGCAUACGUCCUACGGGAGAAAGCAGGGGACCUUCGGGCCUUGCGCUAUCAGAUGAGCCUAGGUCGGAUUAGCUAGUUGGUGAGGUAAUGGCUCACCAAGGCGACGAUCCGUAACUGGUCUGAGAGGAUGAUCAGUCACACUGGAACUGAGACACGGUCCAGACUCCUACGGGAGGCAGCAGUGGGGAAUAUUGGACAAUGGGCGAAAGCCUGAUCCAGCCAUGCCGCGUGUGUGAAGAAGGUCUUCGGAUUGUAAAGCACUUUAAGUUGGGAGGAAGGGCAGUUGCCUAAUACGUAACUGUUUUGACGUUACCGACAGAAUAAGCACCGGCUAACUCUGUGCCAGCAGCCGCGGUAAUACAGAGGGUGCAAGCGUUAAUCGGAAUUACUGGGCGUAAAGCGCGCGUAGGUGGUUUGUUAAGUUGGAUGUGAAAUCCCCGGGCUCAACCUGGGAACUGCAUUCAAAACUGACUGACUAGAGUAUGGUAGAGGGUGGUGGAAUUUCCUGUGUAGCGGUGAAAUGCGUAGAUAUAGGAAGGAACACCAGUGGCGAAGGCGACCACCUGGACUAAUACUGACACUGAGGUGCGAAAGCGUGGGGAGCAAACAGGAUUAGAUACCCUGGUAGUCCACGCCGUAAACGAUGAUAACUAGCUGUCCGGGCACAUGGUGCUUGGGUGGCGCAGCUAACGCA